rnacentral:rRNA from 1 species
GUGGGGAAUAUUGGACAAUGGGCGAAAGCCUGAUCCAGCCAUGCCGCGUGAGUGAUGAAGGCCUUAGGGUUGUAAAGCUCUUUCAGUAGGGAAGAUAAUGACGGUACCUACAGAAGAAGCCCCGGCUAACUUCGUGCCAGCAGCCGCGGUAAUACGAAGGGGGCUAGCGUUGUUCGGAUUUACUGGGCGUAAAGCGCACGUAGGCGGAUUGGUCAGUUAGAGGUGAAAUCCUGGAGCUCAACUCCAGAACUGCCUUUAAUACUGCCAGUCUAGAGUCCAGAAGAGGUGAGUGGAACUCCUAGUGUAGAGGUGGAAUUCGUAGAUAUUAGGAAGAACACCAGUGGCGAAGGCGGCUCACUGGUCUGGUACUGACGCUGAGGUGCGAAAGCGUGUGGAGCAAACAGGAUUAGAAACCCUGGUAGUCC